GUGAGCUCACCCCAACGGUUGAUCUGCAGCUGCCUGUGGUGAUGCUGGUGUGAAUCCGGCUUCAAACUUUGAGGAGAAGAGGAAUUAAACGCUUGGCGAACUGUUAACACGGUGGUGCGCUCUGUAGGGAAGGGAAAGUACGAGCUGCUUUUUAUGCUGUUUGGUUUUUUUUUUUUUUUUUUUAAAUUCAGAAUUAGUCCCAGCUCGCUCUUAAAAUGGUACACUGGUUUAAUUCACCUGAAUAAACAGUUGGAACAAACAGUUGUUAGCGCUGCAGCCCUGGGCUGGGAAAGGGGCUUGGAAGCUGCCAGGGCUCCCAGCAGAAGGUGAGGAGAUGCCCCCCAGGCCCAUGAGCAGGGACAGAAUCCAACCCAUGGAAACAGACCGAGGUGAGCUUGUAUCAACCACAAACGAGGGUAGGAAAUUUUAUUUAAUGUCAUUUCAGGCCCCCUUUUACACGGGUAAGGGAGUAAACAGGGCUAUCUGGGCAGUGACCGGGCCCUGUCCCUUACACGGUGACACAGGCAGGGCCCUGUCCUUGGAAGCGCAGAGAGGGCAUGGAAGGGGGAUUGAUUUGAUGGAGGCUGAGCCCCGGGUGGAUGACCCUGCACCAGGCACAGCUGUGCUGCUUUGAAGCAAACAACCCUGACCUGAAGAGAGGGGGCAAAGGCAGGGCCCUGUGCUGGGCGGGCAGCUGGGGCUCGUACAGAUGAGAUGAGGUGGUGGGGGGGAAAAACCCCAGGUGUAUGGUGCUGCUUCCCCUCCAGCACCCCCCCUGUUUCACGCUGCCCGGUCAUCUCUGCCGCCACUCGGCCCCCUCUCGCCGAGGAGCCCCCGGUCUCCGCCAAGCAGCCGGUCCCCGCUGCAGGGCCCUCACGACGCCGCCAUGCUGGUCCCUCAGCGGGCCGGCGCCUUAUAUAGGGCACGGCCCGUGGUGGGCGGGGCUCCGCCUGCCGCUCAUCCCGCCUCGCCCCUCGGAUUGGUCCUUUUCCACCGCGAGCGCGCGCGGCGGCCGUUGGCGGCCGGUGGGGCCGGGGGCGGCGCGAGCGAGAGGCGGGAAGAAGGAGCGGCGCGUGCCCCGGCGCCUGAGGGAGCGCGCGGCCCGGCCCGGUUCUCCCCGUUCUCCCCCCUCUCCCCCCCGCUCCGCCGGCGGCCCCCCUUGGCCCCCGCUCAGCCCCGGGAGCCCGCCCGGUGCCGGGGAUGAAGCGCAGACGAGGAGAGAGCGCGGCCCGGCCGGCUGGAGCCUGCGAUGUGUGGCUGGACACGGCCGAGCUGAAGGCUCUCGUAGCCAAGUCAAAAGCAUCUCGUCGAGUUCUGGAAAGGAAACAGGCCUCGGUCACUUUCACACAGACAAGAUCCUCUCAGCCACGCGCCAAGCAAACCACCAUCUCCGCCUUCUUCAGCUCCCAGACAGGUACCACCGACCAGCCUGCGCCCCUGCAGGAAACUAGUUUCAGGCUGUAAUAGGAAAUCACCUCGCUUUGGUCCUUGUCAGCUUUACUAGGCAGAAAAAUACCUUUUCUAGUGAUGAGGGUGAAGGUUAAAGGCUUAAAUUCCCAGAAAUAAUUUUAUUGUGAUGGUUAAUCUAAAUGCGGGCACCUUUUAGUGUUAGGCCAAAGUGUGAGUGACAACGGUCACAGCCAGCCUUCACUGCAGAGCAAUCUGAGCUCUAAAUAACACACAGGGCUUUACUCCCUGCAGAACUGGAGUUUUCAGAGGGAUUUUGGGAAGCCUGACCCAGCCCAAGCGCUGAUAGAAACCGUCCAGGUGGCAAAACACCCAGUUCUGGGUCACGCGAUGGCAUCCCAUAAAGGACAAUCCAGUCGGGAAUGCCGCUGGGGCCGGGGCAGGGUGGGUCUGGGCAGGAGCAGGGCGUUCCCUGCCAGGUUUGUUCCAAACGAUAACAGCUCUAAGUUGUUGGUUAAACGCCCUUUGGAAUUAUUAUUGGAAGUGAAAAUUAAUGUUACUUGAUUUGAACAACCCCCCUGGAAGGGGAGUCAGCGGGAGGUGUGUGGGGAAAGCUUUUUGUGACGGGUUGGACAAAGGCUUUUCUGCGGAAUGCAGUGUUUAAUCCAAACUGAACCGAUGAAGGAAUCACAAGGGAACUGGAAUAUUUCAGCUAAUUAAGGCAGCUCACCACCUCUGCGCCUGUGAGGCUGCUUUUGUGCUCUGGAAUACAGGAAACUGGAAUUUGUCUGUGGGUCUCAAAUUAAUGAAUAUGAAGAGAAAUUAAAUGAACGUGGGAACCAGGAGUGUGGGGUUGUGUAGCUGUUUGUGUAUUGUGAGUUGUGUAACGGCUAAUUCAUCAACAUUAACCUAGUUCAGCAAUCAGCAGAUGAGAGGAAGCAUCGCAUAAAUUGUACAAUCUAAUUAUUUGACAAUUUUUGUGUUGCGACAGGGCCAUUGGCGGUUUUUUCUUUGGAUUUGUUAUUGCUACUCCUUUUGAAUGUGUUGUGUGCUUUCUCCUUUUUCGUUUGAUUCCCUUGAUUGAUUGCACUCGCUUGGUCGCUGUGUGUGUUUGGAUUCACUGAACGCUGCUGUUUGUCACAGGUCUGGGGGAUUUAAGAUGCUGGAGUAUUUCUUAUUGGUAUUUUUGUCCUUUUAGCAUAUCCUGAAUUGAGGAUGAGCUCUCUUAUUGAGAAGUUAUAUUAGGUUUUUAUAAUAAAUGGUAUCAGAAGCAAAUGAGGGGACGUGAU
ensembl:lncRNA